AGUAGUUUUAUACAAUUGUGUGAUUUUAUGGAAAAUGGGUUUAAAUGGUAAAUUGCUAUGUUUUAAGAGAAAUUGUGAUUUUAUAAAUUUUCUGAAAAAUCGAAUACUGGUUUUGAAAAUAGAGUAAUUGGAGACUGCCUGCUUGUAUUGUAAAUUUAUGGUUUUAAAUUGAAUGGCUUAUGACAAUAAAUGAGCAUGAAUGGCUAAAUUGAUUUUGGUGUUAGAAUUAUUUGUACUGU
rnacentral:lncRNA from 1 species